rnacentral:misc_RNA from 1 species
GUUGUUGAAUGUACCUCCACAUCUCCCUCGUAGCCACACGCAGAAACACACACACACACACGUGCAUUCAUAAGCGAACCAUCGUUGCACAUCCCCGGCCAUCCUCAUCGCCAAGUGCCGCUUCAUUUCGUUGGAACGAACACAGCAGCUAAAACCAAGGCAGAAACGUGUGUGCUGCCUUCGAUCUACCCUUUUCGAACUUGGGCCCCAAAAGCGUUGUCCACUUUGUUUUUCUCGCUAGCACAGCGCGCUGAUUCUGUCUGCAUCGACUCUGCCGGCCAGCGCAAUGGGCCAUGCCGUCAGCCGCAAGACGUCCCUGGCGAAGAAGCUGGAGACAACGAUGCGCAUUAAUGAGGCACCGUUGCCCAUCGCCUCUGAAAGGGGCGCGCCGGUGGCCGCCGCGGCGCACGAGAAGCAGCGCGGGGACGACUCCCAGGAGGGUCUGACGGAGGAAAUGAUCGAAGGGCUGACGCGCAGCAGCGUCGGCAGCACUCACAGCAAGGCAAAGGACACGGUCAACGACUGGAUCACCGUGGCAAACUACUUCGUGAAACACAACACGGACGCCUUAAAGCAGCACGAGGAAAGCAUGCGUACUCUCGCUGCUAUGCAGGCUGCGCAGCACAACCUCCGGAGCUUUAGCAAGCCGAAUCUUCAUGCCCCCUCUAGGUCCAAGGACUCGAGGAAUCAUGCUGCGAUCGUCAUCACAAGGUCGCACUCCUGAUGGGAUGGAGCGGAGCGACAGCAGCAACGAAAAGUGGAAAAGGAGGAACGAUGUGCAUGUAGUGAUAGCCAGCCUAUCCGUGCAUGUCUGUCUCUCUCUGUCUGAGCCGGUGCGUGCGUUCAUGUCUGUUGAGAGAGAACGCGGAAGGGGCAUAGCUGUGCUGUGCGGUGGCGCGGUUCUAUUUUCCUUCGGCUAGCAGGUCGUCUACGAUAUUUGGUUAGCGUCUUCGCUCGCAUACUUCAUUAUCUCCCCCUCCACCCCCCCCCCACACACACACGUCACCCGACUCCUUCACCUCGUACGUCCUCCAUCCUUUGUGUGUGUGUGCGGGUGUCGUGGAAUAGUGCUGCCUUUGGCGUCAGUGAUACUUUACCGUGUCUUUCUCUUUGUCGCUCUCUCGCUGUGUGUUGUAUACGCCACAUGGUGAAUGGGGUGGCGCAAGCUCGCUUCUUUCGCUUCCCUGUGCACCUCCCUCCCCCCUCCUGUGUGUGUGUAUACAGCAUCUCUUCACUGUUCGUCUUUUACAUCUCUCUUCCCCUUUUGUAUUGUAGUUGUGGCCCCUGACGUUGGUCUUGCCGAUGCGUUUAUCGCAUGGCAUGUGCGCUUGUGGUAAUGCGAUGUGUUCCUGUCCUGCCCGCCUCCCUCCUUCUGCUCCGUCACUCUCACUUGCGGGCGCACCGUCGUUUUCCUUUCUUCACUUCCGUCCUUUCACCUCUGCAGCCUGUCUCUCUUUCUCUGUGUGUGUGUUGUACCUCGAUUUGUCCCUGUGAUGCAUGCCGUCGUUGUCGAUGUGUCUCUUCGAGUGAUCCGUUCCACAGAGCCCCCUUGUUUCCCGCGCAGCGCACGUGCCUCCCCCAUAUCUAUCUUUUCUUUCCAAUCCUUUCUCAAUGACGUGUGUAUGCACAUGCAUUCUCGGAGAGCAUCCCUGGACUACUCUACAAGCUUCUCCGCAACACGUAUACUGUACCCGGACACACACACUUGCGCACCGGCCGGUAGUAGCACCAACACGCAAGUUAAACAAGAGCAGGCCCGAUGAGAAAUAGAGAAGGAAGUAGAGAGAAGGAGGGGGCUGAAAGGCACACAUACACAGGUGAACACAGAGAGAACGCGCUCAGCUGGACUUCGCCGUUUGAGACUCCCAUGUGUGUGUGUGUGUGUGCCGAUGUGACUGCCUUCAUGCGAGUGUUUGUGGUGUUGUGCGCGUCUGCCCGGCCCUGUGCUCUGUGUUUGCUGUGCUGCACACAACUAUACAGGGUGCUGUGGGGGAGGGGUCGCCGCGCAUCCCCCUCCCCGCAGAUGCGCGCCCCCCUCUCUCUUGCUUGACAGGUGUGCCUUUCUGUGCUGCUGCCGCCGCCUCCUCGUUUCUUCCUCAUCAUUGGCCGCCUCUGCGUUUACUUGUCUACUUCGCUUCUUCUCCCCCUCCCUCCCUCUGCCGUUAUGUGUUUCCCUCCAUCGCUUUUUCCUCUCUUUGUUCUUGACUGGAAGCUGCCCUUUGCCGUUGCUGCCGACCUGUGGAUUUGCCGGUGUGGCGGAGCGAGCUUAUGGUGGACGCGUGCGGCCAUGCUGUACGCAGAUGUAUACAUGUAUAUACAUAUAUACAUGUGUGUGUGUGUGUGUCCUUGAAAAGCUUCAUGGAUGCCACACCAUUUUUAUUCUGCAUUGGCCGCCUUUGGCCUCCCCCUUUCUCCACCUGCUCUUCGCUCCUUUUUGGCUACACCGCCCACCCCGCCCUUCGUGCAUGCAGAUGUGUAUGCGUGCGUGGGAGUAGAGGUGGAGAAGAAUGGGGAAGGACAGAGAGAGGUCGUACAUCGAGAAAAGGCGGAACGGGGAACCGCGAUGAUGCACCUCCGCCCCUUCUCUCCUGCGGGCCCGCUGAGUGAGGGCAUGCUGGUAUGGGUUGUCACUGCCGCCUCUCUCGUCUUGGUUUCUUUCACAUUCACGGGGGGGGGCGCAUCGCAUCAACGCACGCACAGGCACAUCAGUACUCGCCCACUUCACUGUCUCCCUCCUCCUUGCCAUCGGAGGUGCAAGGUGGCGCUACAGUUACAGCCGAAGGGCCGCAUGUGUGUUUCGAAAAAGGGCAGUCCAUGCGACUAGCAGUGCUGACAAUGCGGAACGAUAAGCUUCUAAGCGGAGAGAAAGGUAGAGGAAGACUGCCUGCAUCGUCGAUGAACGAGUGGAGCGGAAAAGACGACGUGGAUGAUGUAGUAACGCCGAGUGUAGGAGUCUCCUUGUGUGUGCGUGUGUGACACGGAGAGCUGCAUUGGUUCCUCCUCGCUGAAGCAAAACGCGCACAUGUGCAUAUGCCUUGCAACGCCUGCGUAUGGCAUGCGUCUUCGUCCCCUAAAGAUGCUCGCCCUCCCCUCCCCCUCCCUGUGUCCAUUUUGGCGCGUGGUGUGUUGCUGCUCUUGUACCGUUCUUGUGUCUGUGCAUUUGCCUCUUCUGUUUGUAUUUUGUGGUUCCUUCUCCCCCCCUCCCCACCUCCAACAGCUGUCUUCUGGCGCCAGCAACAGAACACGUAGAGAACAUGUAUGCGUUGGCCGGAGAGCGUGCUCUCCCUACCUGUCCUCUUCCAUUCUUGCUCCUUUCCGGAGUCGCUCCCGUUCGGCGAUGGUGCGUUUUCAGUUUCUGCGUUUGCUUCCACCUCCACCCCCACCCUCCCCUCUCCCUCUGCCAUCGCCGUCUCUCCGCUCCACUUUUAUGCGCCACCGCGCGUGUACGUGUGUGAGCGCGCGAUGAUGUUCUCCCUUCUCGCCUUCUGCCACGUUCUCUUGCUGCGAUCUUUGCUGUUUUUGGCUUCCGAGGUGCCUUUGACCAUCCCUCCGUGCAUGUGCGUAUUCAUUCCUCUCCUUCGAAAGCGGGCGCCGCACUGGUGCUCCACAGGGUGCUGCCGUGUGGCUCCGCUUUACCUAUGUGCAUGCAUCCGUCUUCCUCCCUUGGUUGUGCAAUCCCUAACCUCCACCCGCCGCCCCUCUUCUGUGCUGCCACAGUGCGCCCUUGUCGUUGGUAGGCCUCUUUUCUUUGCAGCUCUCUCUCUCUCGCUACUUCAUGCACUGGUGCAGAGGGCGUUGGUGCCGUGGAGACGAUCUAUUGCGGGAUGGAGUGGGCGGGAGGGAAGCGAAGGGAAGAGGGAGACAUCUCAUGUAUUGACCCACGUUGUCCUCCCCGCUCCCUCGCCUGCGUUUUCAUGUUGCGUGCUUGCAUCAUGUGCGCCUCACUCGAUUGCCUCUUUCUACUCCUUACGUGCGUGUCUAUGUAUCAGCAUUUUCAG